rnacentral:rRNA from 1 species
UUACCUAGAGUUGUAGGCUUUGCCUGCUAUCUCUUACCCAUGUCUUUUGAGUACCUUACGUUUCCUCGGUGGGUUCGCCCACCGAUUGGACAAAUUUAAACCCUUUGCAGUUGAAAUCAGCGUCUGAAAAAACUUAAUAGUUACAACUUUCAACAACGGAUCUCUUGGUUCUGGCAUCGAUGAAGAACGCAGCGAAAUGCGAUAAGUAGUGUGAAUUGCAGAAUUCAGUGAAUCAUCGAAUCUUUGAACGCACAUUGCGCCCCUUGGUAUUCCAUGGGGCAUGCCUGUUCGAGCGUCAUUUGUACCUUCAAGCUCUGCUUGGUGUUGGGUGUUUGUCUCCUGUAGACUCGCCUUAAAACAAUUGGCAGCCGGCGUAUUGAUUUCGGAGCGCAGUACAUCUCGCGCUUUGCACUCAUAACGACGACAUCCAAAAGUACAUUUUUACACUCUUGACCUCGGAUCAGGUAGAGAUACCCGCUGAACUUAAGCAUAUCAAUAAGCGGAGGA